AAGUUAUGGGAGGAACUAUAAGGAAUGUCACCUCAAUGUCACUGCAGUGAAGGAUCGACCCGAACCUGAGACAACGACUGAUACCAGACUGAGAUGGAUCGGCCUCUACUGGGCACUGGGACUGACAGCAGCUCUACUGGUUGUUUAUUUAUUUUAUCUCUGCUUUGCAAACAAGACCAGUGAUCAGCAGAACAUACGAUACACCAGAAACACAAUUCAAGUUAUUGAUCCUUUAAGAUUUUGCACAGAAACAGUCUGAGUUGUUCUGACUGAAGUCCAGCUGAGACACAUCUGGAUCUUUGGAUGUCUCCUGUGUGUCUCAUGGACCAACAGCAGCAUGAUGGUAUCAGUGAGUCUACAGAGACACUUGUGACUCAGGGAGCCCAGCUGGUGAACGCUGAGCCCUGUUGUGUGUGUGAUGGUCAAUUAGUUUAGUUUCAUCAGGACCAAACUGAUUCACCUUCUGACAUCACAGCAUGAAUGUAAGUCAAUGCUGACAUGAAGUGUCAGGGAGACUGUGGGUGGAGAGUCCAAUCAGAGGAUCAACAGUUGACAUACUUUUGUUUUUUGUUCUAGACCUUCAGCUCCUCUAACAGAGACUCUGACUACUGAACAUAUUCUGCAUUAAGCAUCAUGCUGCUCGUCAUCAAAGACUAAUGUUUAUUCUGGUUCCUGUUCAUAAAGAACGGAAACACAUUAAUAUUCUGUAUGUUAAGCCUGUAAAAAGAAAAAUAGAUCCUCACGAUGCCUCAAUAUUGCAUUUUGCACAUAAUGCGAUUAAUCGUUAACCACAGAAAAAUCGUGCGAUUUAUCAAAUUACAUUUCUUAAUCUUUUCCUAACAUUAAUACACACCAUUUCAUAUUUGUACAAAAAAUACACUGUUAAAUUACUUUUAUUUAUUUAAUAUAUUGUGCCUGGAAUAAAGUAUUACCUGUUUAAUCACUACGAAA